GGGGCGAUAGCUCAGUUGGGAGAGCGUCAGACUGAAGCACACUUCAAUCUCAUCCUCUGGAUAUCUGAAGGUCCCGUGUUCAAUCCACGGUCACCCCA
rnacentral:tRNA from 1 species